rnacentral:rRNA from 1 species
UGGUGGUGCAUGGCCGUUCUUAGUAGGUGGAGUGAUUUGUCUGGUUAAUUCCGAUAACGUACGAGACCUCAGCCAUCUAAAUAGCUGUAGCUAACUUGUUAGCGAAGACUAACGUCAUAACAGCUUCUUAGAGGGACAAUCUGUGUUUAACAGAAGGAGGAUUGAGGCAAUAACAGGUCAGUGAUGCCCUUAGAUGAUCUGGGCUGCACGCGCGCUACAAUGGUUCACUCAAAAAGUUUAACCUAUCCUGAAAAGGCUGGGUAAUCUUUAAAAUGAAUCUAAGUUGGGAUAGAUGAUUGCAAUUGU